UACAGAGGGGGCAAGCGUUGUUCGGAAUUACUGGGCGUAAAGGGCGCGUAGGCGGCCUGUUAAGUCGAACGUGAAAUCCCCGGGCUCAACCCGGGAACUGCGUCCGAUACUGGGAGGCUUGAAUCCGGGAGAGGGAUGUGGAAUUCCAGGUGUAGCGGUGAGAUGCGUAGAUAUCUGGAGGAACACCGGUGGCGAAGGCGGCAUCCUGGACCGGUAUUGACGCUGAGGCGCGAAAGCCAGGGGAGCAAACGGG
rnacentral:rRNA from 1 species